AGUGAACGCUGGCGGUAGGCCUAACACAUGCAAGUCGAACGGCAGCACAGGAGAGCUUGCUCUCUGGGUGGCGAGUGGCGGACGGGUGAGGAAUACAUCGGAAUCUACUCUGUCGUGGGGGAUAACGUAGGGAAACUUACGCUAAUACCGCAUACGACCUACGGGUGAAAGCAGGGGACCUUCGGGCCUUGCGCGAUUGAAUGAGCCGAUGUCGGAUUAGCGAGUUGGCGGGGUAAAGGCCCACCAAGGCGACGAUCCGUAGCUGGUCUGAGAGGAUGAUCAGCCACACUGGAACUGAGACACGGUCCAGACUCCUACGGGAGGCAGCAGUGGGGAAUAUUGGACAAUGGGCGCAAGCCUGAUCCAGCCAUACCGCGUGGGUGAAGAAGGCCUUCGGGUUGUAAGGCCCUUUUGUUGGGAAAGAAAUCCAGCUGGCUAAUACCCGGUAGGGAUGACGGUACCCAAAGAAUAAGCACCGGCUAACUUCGUGCCAGCCGCCGCAGUAA
rnacentral:rRNA from 1 species